ensembl:lncRNA
GAGAUUGACUUGGAAGUGAAGAGAGAAGAGGAGAUCUGCCUGCUUGGCUUCCUGAAACAGGGGGGUUCUAUUUUUUUUUCUCCCUUUGCUUGGGACUCAAAAGGGGACAGAAUUUCCACACGAUCAUUUACGGAGAGCAGCCCAGCAGGGUCAAGGCUGGGAGGAGUGGACACAGCCACAAGCAGCGAAGCCAGGUGGAGGCACGAAGGCAGAAGAGCGGGUGGACGAAAGCAUGAGGUGGCUCCUGGGCAGCAGCUGGAGGAAAUUUGGACACGCUGACAGGGGGAACUAUGACUGGCUGAACACUGAACCAGUGCAAUUCAUAGAAUCGUAAAGGUUGGAAAAGACUUCUAAGACCAUCUAGCCCAACCACCAGCCCCGCCACACCCACAGACCACGUCCCUCAGCGCCACAUCUACGCGUUUCUUGAACACCCCAGGGACAGUGCCUCCACCACCUCCCUGGGCAGCCUCUGCCUAUGCAUUAUUCCUCCUAAUAUCCAACCUGAGAAAGAAAAAACCCACAUUCAUAGCGGUGACGCAUUUGGCUGGAAUCAGGACUCGAUAUACCUUUUGCUAGGUUCAAGUAUCAAACACUGUUAUCUAGGACAGAAGAGUAGACAACAGACAAGUUCAACCAAAGAUGACAUAGAGCCAUUUCUGUGCAUCAUUUUGCCUGCUACCAUGAUGCUCUUCCUGGCAUUCCUGCUGCUCUUCCUGUACCGCCGCUGCCAGCGCCCCAUCCCACAAGGGCAGAUCUUCAGCAUUGACCUCCCUGAGGCCCUGCCUGAGCACGACGUGUCCAAUUUCCUUUCUGUGCUGCCCUGGAACAGCGAGCAGAGUUUUCACUACUCCACUCUCCUCCCAGAUGCCACAUUCCUCUCCAUGUGUUUGCCUCCAUCCUAUGAGGAGGCCACUACAAAGACUGCCCUGGAUGAGGCUCACAUUGAGCUCUCUCCAGACCCAGUGCCUCCUUACGAAGAGAGCACACUGCCAUCCAGCAGCACCAAAUAAGCUUCCUACGGAAGUAACUUAGCUGAAGCAUGCUGCCCCUCAAGGCGCAAAUACAGAUCUGCUAUGGCCUUUAAAAUUAGCACAAAUAAUAUAAAUGAGGUAAAAGCAAUGAACUGUGAAGAAGCAAACUUAAAGUAACAAGGAAUUAGAAUAUCCUAGAACAAGGUGAAUAGUAUCUUCCACCUGUAGCAAGGCUAAACACCACAUCAGUUCUAGACUGGUAAUGGGGAAAUCUGAGGGAAUGGAGUAUGUUGUACAAGGAUUAGACUUACAGACAGAUGAGAAUCUGCCCAUCUGCAGUCCCAAAGAAACAUAACACUGAUGGCUGGACUUGAUGAUCUUGAAGAUCUUUUUCAGCCUAGAUGACUCUAUGAUAAAUUACACUACAGAUUUACCAGUUGCAAAAAGGGCUUUUAGCAUGAGUCUAUGCCAGUUUGGCUUUUUCUACUUUAUGUGUUUAUUUUUCAUUGAGUUCCUGAAAAGUUGAUUUAUUUAGUCAGCAUGUCCUAACAUCGCAUCAUUCUUCAGUGCUCUGGAACAAUCGAUCACAGCACUCAGGAAAGGAAAUAAAUUCUAAGGAAGUUUUCCAGCUGUCCCCAAAGGUACAACCAUGCACCGUUCCUGAAGGCUGACUUCUACCACGAUUGAACAGUGAGAGCAACCAGAGAAGACCAGAUCAUUCUGGGUGAGGGAGACUCCAGCACCAUCACACACAAACACACGCACUUGCUACAAGACAAGGCCUACAAAAUCCCAAAUUUCUAUGCUACUGGCUUGACUUAUUUUCCAACGUACAGAUCUAAAAACAAUAAAUUCUGUGACCUUUCAGGUACCAUGUGUUAAAAAAUUAUGGGGAAAAAAAAAUCAAGUGUACAAAGAAAAAAAUCUGGUUGGUAUUUCAAAACAGCAUUGCAGUCACUUAGCCACUAGAGAGAAGUAAAUACCAUUUAAAUGUGUUUGUGCGUGUGGUUCCCAGGAGGGCUUGCACAUGCUUGCUUUUAGAGUGACUUAUCUUUAAUUCCUUCUUACAGAACAGCACUUUCACCAUGCUGACAGAUGCUCUUGUUGACUGAUAAAAUUCAGCCUUCGCUGUUUCAAAUGUAGCAUAUUUUGCCUUAAAAUAUCUGCUAUGUUCUGAAAUCAGUUACUCUGUUCUUCAGGAGUUUAUCCUUGCCAAUUUAGUGCCUGAAAGCUACCCUGGGCUCAACAUUCUAAGCUGCUCUCCUGUUAUCCUCAUUACAAGUCAGAUAAAUUCUUAAAUGAUAUUUCUGGUGAUCAAAACUGAUGUUCUAGUUCUAGAACUAGCCAAGAAUUGCUAUUCCCUCCAAGAACACUGAAUGAUCAUCUCUCACAUAGUAUUUACCGGGUAACUCAAAUCCUGCCUUAGAAAAAUAGUUUGUUUGCAUUACUAUAAAUAAAUUAAGAACAGAUAAUUGCUCACAUUCAGAUUAACAAUAAUAUAUGUCCCAUUACUUCAGUUCCUUUUUCUAAUAGACCACUUUUAAUUUCAUCUAGAAUUAGUGUCUCGUAACUCAUUCCAACACCAUUUUGUCUGGUCUUGCAUGUUAAUUGUCCCUAGUGAGUUUUAACCUACCCAGCAUCUCAUUCUUAAAUCUCCACUGCAAAUCAAAGGUCCAGUGGAUAAAGGUCCAUAGUGUAGCAAUUGCUACUGAUAGUAUCAGCCCAUGACACACCCAGCAGUAACCAUAGUGUCAUCGUCAUUGCUACUGCUUGAUCACAUCCUCUGUCACAAACAUAGCUCACAGUCCGAAAGGAAUUCAUGCUCAGCUCCGCUAAUCUGAAAGUGAAAGGCUUGCAGCCCACCAUCUAGAAUAGAGUCAUUGAGGUUUCAGCAUUAGACAAGAUGACUGGAACAUUAGAUUUUCAAGUACAGAAAAAGUAACUGCAAACAGAACAAAAUGACCCUUCACACAUCAUGCCUAUAGCAGCCUGGACUGGUGCCAGAAAGCUCAAGUUGCAAGAGAAAAUUCUAAAAGGGAACUACAGUCUAAAAGAGCAGUGAAGCACUGGGAGCAUUAUCACUGGUCACAGUAAGAAGUUGAACAAUCAUCUGUCAGCAGUGAAGGAUGCUAGUUGGAGCAAGGAAUACUUAGAUGUCUUCCCUGGGCCCUUCCCUGCUCCUACAUCAUAAGGCUGUGUAAAAAUAAAGUCCAUUCAUUGUUUCUAAGUUUUAAAAGAAAAUAAAUGUCUCUUUGAAAACC